CAGUGCCUUCUGCACAGAGUGCAGAAUUGGAACACUCUGUCUUGGCAAGUCAUGCCUCCUUGGAGAGCGUUCAGAAGGAGCUGCCCUUUCUGGCCCGGAGCAAACCGAACCUCAGUGGGAAUAAGCUUAUCACAAGGACAUUUGGUGGCACUGCCCUGCGGAUGAAACUCUGCUCUGGCUUUGCACAGCUCUUAGCAUAAAAGGGAACUCCUCCAGCUGGUCCAGGGGCCCUGCUGGUCCAGCCCUGCCCCCCACCUCUCCACGCCGGGUUCUCUGUGCUCCAGCCACCUUGUCUGCCUACAGUCCAGCACACUCUGCCUCUUCCACCAAGGGGCUCUCAGGAACUCUUCUCUCUGCACAGAAGACCUGGAACACUCCUUCAUUCGGCUGACUGCUGCUGCCUCAGCAUCAUCCCUGUGGAAGCCUGCUUCACGUACCGAUGAGGUCGCCCUCCUGUCUGCAUCCCUGAGAGUCAUGGUUACGAUUCUGCACUGGGGGCUUCUUCCCCCACUAGCCUGACACUGUGCUCAGAGAGCUUGUCGCUUGCCCAGUAUCUCACAACAAGGACUCAAACGGAGCUCCCGCUGGCUCCCACCUCCCGGCCUCUGCUCCCUGACACUGGGGAUCCACGACCCCACACCCUCCCAUCUCCUUCCCGGCUCAUCUCCUUCCCAGCUCGUUUCCUCCGGAUGAUAAGAGCUGGGUGGUAAUAUUACAUACUCUUCCUUUCCAAUUGCAACUCUUCAUUGCUUUUGGCAGCAAAAGCUCUGCUCAGGGUCAAGAUGAGAGAGUGACUGGUACUAGCCAAAGAAAAUUGAGAUGGAUUCUUACAGCGCAUUGAAUGAGGGCCCCCCAAAUAUAUGUCUGCAUCCUGAUCCCCAGAAUCUGUGCAUGUUACUUGAUCUGGAAAAAGGGUCUUUGCAGACAUAAUUCAAUUAAGAAUCUUGAGAUGACAUCUCCCUGGAUUAUCCAGUGGGCUUUAAAUUAGAUGACCUGUGUCCUUAUUAUUAGAAGGGCAGAGAGAGGUUUGAAACAGACAGAAGAGAAGACGAUGCUGAGAGGAGAAGGCGGUGUGAAGACAGAGGCAGAGAUUGGACUGAUGUGGUUACAAACCAAGGAGUGUCGGCAGCCACUAGAAAGGAAGAGAGAGUCAUGGAGUGGAUUCCCUCCCAGAGCCUCGGAAGGAAGUGUGGCCCCACUGACAGCACGAUUGUGGACUUCUGCCUCCAGAACUUGAGAGAGUACAUUUCUAUUGUUUUAACUCAUCCAGUUGGCGGUAAUUUGUUACAGCAGCCCUAUGAAAGUAAUAGAAUUCUCAAAUGCUAUCUGCUCACAAAUUUCAACGUGAAAGAUAUAAACACCCAAACCUCAGUCCAGAUUCCAAUGGUGAGAAGCCCCCAUGGAAGCCUCGACAGCCCCUUUGGACUCAGCAGUCCCGCGGAGUAUUUCCCCAGGGUUUCCUGACGCCCCUGCCUCCUCCCUCAGAGCUUUGACCCUGCCACUCUAUUGCGGGUCCUGUGUAACCUUCCCCA
rnacentral:lncRNA from 1 species